GGCGGAUAUACUCAGAAGAUUGCCGGAAACACUCCAUAUAUGGCGAAAUUAGCCACACUAUGAAAUGUAAAAUGCCUUAGAGGGUCAGAGGAUGACACUGACUGUCCAGAUCCGAGAGGAAGCAAUUGAGGGUUGGGAGAAGAGGAGAAUCGAUUGCCAUCUGCAGUUGAGAAGUGAAGCUUGGCACGAUCACCUAAGUGCCUGAGUGAAAUCGUAAAUGCAGAAAGCAAUGAGAGAUG